UAAGACUUACUGCUUGCAAUACCUUGAAGACUUCAGUGAAAUCCAUUUCUUCGGUGACAAAACCUAUGAGGGUGGAAACGAUUAUGAAAUUUAUGAAUCACCAAAAACAAUUGGCCAUUCAGUAACGAGUCCAGAUGAUACAAUGGCGAAAUGCAAGGCUCUGUUCAUGUCUUGAAACACCUAUCCAUCUCAAGAACAUUGUGUCAGAGUUUGAUUA